CCCAGACAGCCAGGAUGUUGGCUUAGAAGCAGCCAUCAUUUAAAGAAAGCGUAAUAGCUCACUGGUCGAGUCGGCCUGCGCGGAAGAUGUAACGGGGCUAAACCAUGCACCGAAGCUGCGGCAGCGAACGUAUCACUUAAAGCGAUUCAGCGGGUUACGAUUGACGGAGCGAAGCGACGUCAAAGCGUAUACAAAGUCGAGUCGGUUUAAGGAUACGUUCGUUGGGUAGGGGAGCGUUCUGUAAGCCUGUGAAGGUGUGUCGUGAGGCAUGCUGGAGGUAUCAGAAGUGCGAAUGCUGACAUAAGUAACGAUAAAGCGGGUGAAAAGCCCGCUCGCCGGAAGACCAAGGGUUCCUGUCCAACGUUAAUCGGGGCAGGGUGAGUCGACCCCUAAGGCGAGGCCGAAAGGCGUAGUCGAUGGGAAACGGGUUAAUAUUCCCGUACUUGGUGUUACUGCGAAGGGGGGACGGAGAAGGCUAUGUUGGCCGGGCGACGGUUGUCCCGGUUUAAGCGUGUAGGUGUGUGUUCCAGGUAAAUCCGGUUCACUUUAACACUGAGGCGUGAUGACGAGGCACUACGGUGCUGAAGCAACAAAUGCCCUGCUUCCAGGAAAAGCCUCUAAGCAUCAGGUAACAUCAAAUCGUACCCCAAACCGACACAGGUGGUCAGGUAGAGAAUACCAAGGCGCUUGA
rnacentral:rRNA from 1 species